rnacentral:misc_RNA from 1 species
UGGUUCUGGCAUCGAUGAAGAACGCAGCGAAAUGCGAUAAGUAAUGUGAAUUGCAGAAUUCAGUGAAUCAUCGAAUCUUUGAACGCACAUUGCGCCCCCUGGCAUUCCGGGGGGCAUGCCUGUUCGAGCGUCAUUACACCACUCAAGCCUGGCUUGGUCUUGGGCGACGGGACCCCCCGCGCCCCAAUGUCCCCGGCUGGACGUUCCCCAUCUCAGCGUUGUGGCACCCCAAUUCGCUGGCGAGACGGGACGGCCACGCCGCCAAACAUCCUCUUUGACGGUUGACCUCGGAUCAGGUAGGGAUACCCGCUGA